UGACGGAUUCUGUCGAAGUGCAUGAAAACUGGUGGUACAAUGAAUGUUUACUCGCUUUUUCGCGCAACGGUCAUCCUCAUAUUGUACCGUUUAUUUGGUAGUUCUACCAUGUAAAACCAUUUAUAUUUGCAUAUGAUUAAUAUGUUUUACUUAUAACACUCUGUUGUUCCAUGUUAUUUCGCAAUUCAACUCGUCACCAAAUCCAUUCCUUUCCACAGAUCCGAAAUAUCCAACGAGUAACGAUCCUCCUAGUAACAACCCUUCGGAAAUUGCCACGCAACGAAUCACGAGGUUCGUAAAAUACGAGCUAACGGGAGAAAUUAACACGCGAGCAGAGUUGCAAGAAAUUACCAAGUCGAAUCCGAGUGGGAGAGUUAUUAGCGGCGGCGAAAUUACGAAUUCGAAAGAAAUCGUGAGAAUCGCGUGCCUUACUUCGAAAGACGUACCUGCCUAACAUCGUUGCGAGGAUAGAGAUCGGUGGUGGCGACGGCGGUGGCGAUCGUACGAUGGCCGUGGCGACGGUGUAGGUGGCAGAGGCAAUGGUAGUGGAGAAUCUAGCUGGCCGUGUCGGUGUAUCUAACGCGACGAAACAACGUUCCGAUUGGCAGUGUGCAUCGCGUAGCGAGCUUGCGCGCCGCAUUGCACGGCUGCAGUCGAGUCAUUAUGCAGGCCGUUAGUAGCGGGAUGAGAGUGCGAUCGCGAACAACCCGGAACGACGUGACGAUGCUUAAGGGUUAAGCCGGUUUUCAGGGGUGGACCGGUUCGACGGGGUUCGGCGAGCAUUUCCGCGUAACCGACCUCGACAAACCGAGCGAAACGAGGUCAGGAACGGCGCGUACGAGGAACGAGGG
rnacentral:misc_RNA from 1 species